GAGAGGUGCUGCAUGGCUGUCGUCAGCUCGUGUUGUGAAAUGUUGGGUUAAGUUUUGCAACGAGCGCAACUCCUAUCGUUUGUUGCCAGCAUUAAGUUGGGCACUCUGACGAGAUUGUCUGGGUUAAUUAGGAGGAAGGUGGGGAUGAUGUUAAGUUCUUAUGGCCUUUAUGUCUAGGGCUACACACGUAAUAUAAUGGCGCGUACAAAGGGAAGCGAACUCGCAAGGGGGAGCAAAUCUCAAAAAGCGCGUCUCAGUCCGGAUUGGAGUCUGCAACUCGACUCCAUGAAGUUGGAAUCGCUAGUA
rnacentral:rRNA from 1 species